GAGGUGGGGUUCAUCGAGGAACCUCCUUAGUUGGUGGGGGUUCUUGCAGGAACCUAACUGCCCGACAGAAACAUUUGAAUGGACAACAGGUGCAGGCACUUAACUGAAAAAUGUAAAGAUCUCUUCAAUGUAAGGUGAGGUUUGUCCCUUGUAUGAUCUAAAUUGAUAUCUUUCAUAUUUGUGCCAAUCUUUUAAAAACAGAAAAUGAUGGACACAAUUCAAUGGAUAUCAAUCAACAAAGAGGUAUGCAGACGAGGAGACAUACAGUAGAGAGGUAUGUCAAUUGGUAUUGAUAUGUUAUGCAGAUCACAUUUACCAUCGUCCUCCCUGACCUCGUCAAUGAAUAUCCCAUAGGCCUCUACAUUAUGGACAAGACUUCACCCUCCCUACACCUCUGAUGAAUAUAACAGGAAACCUGUUCAAUCACCAUCCACUACAAAAUGAGUCUGGCUAUGCAUACGGAGAACAUCAACACAUUAACAUCAACAGGCCAGAGGAUAUAACCAUUGGACUUGGGGCCCUGCUGGGAGUUUACCUCAUAUUUGUUAGUUUUUUUUAUUCUGCUUUCCCACUAAAAUCAUAAUAAACACUGAGAACUACAAUGUCGUGUUAUUGUUAUGUA